rnacentral:rRNA from 1 species
CUGGCGGCGUGCUUAACACAUGCAAGUCGAACGAUGACCCGGUGCUUGCACCGGUGAUUAGUGGCGAACGGGUGAGUAACACGUGAGUAACCUGCCCUUAACUCUGGGAUAAGCCUGGGAAACUGGGUCUAAUACCGGAUAUGACUCCUCAUCGCAUGGUGGGGGGUGGAAAGCUUUAUUGUGGUUUUGGAUGGACUCGCGGCCUAUCAGCUUGUUGGUGAGGUAAUGGCUCACCAAGGCGACGACGGGUAGCCGGCCUGAGAGGGUGACCGGCCACACUGGGACUGAGACACGGCCCAGACUCCUACGGGAGGCAGCAGUGGGGAAUAUUGCACAAUGGGCGCAAGCCUGAUGCAGCGACGCCGCGUGAGGGAUGACGGCCUUCGGGUUGUAAACCUCUUUCAGUAGGGAAGAAGCGAAAGUGACGGUACCUGCAGAAGAAGCGCCGGCUAACUACGUGCCAGCAGCCGCGGUAAUACGUAGGGCGCAAGCGUUAUCCGGAAUUAUUGGGCGUAAAGAGCUCGUAGGCGGUUUGUCGCGUCUGCCGUGAAAGUCCGGGGCUCAACUCCGGAUCUGCGGUGGGUACGGGCAGACUACAGUGAUGUAGGGGAGACUGGAAUUCCUGGUGUAGCGGUGAAAUGCGCAGAUAUCAGGAGGAACACCGAUGGCGAAGGCAGGUCUCUGGGCAUUAACUGACGCUGAGGAGCGAAAGCAUGGGGAGCGAACAGGAUUAGAUACCCUGGUAGUCCAUGCCGUAAACGUUGGGCACUAGGUGUGGGGGACAUUCCACGUUUUCCGCGCCGUAGCUAACGCAUUAAAUGCCCCCGCCUGGGGAGUUCGG